AAAAAAAUAUGAAAAAACGCGAAACGAAGGUGGUAUAUAAAAGGUCCGUUUACUGACGAAUGGUCAAAAUCGUCUUCAACUGCAUUAUUAUUCAAUCUACGAUUGCUCUUGAAAUUGAAAAUGUCGAAGCUCUUAAUGAUCAUUUUAUUGGUUGGACUGAUCAGUGUUGGGAUCGAUGCUUGUAUUCAGCGUGAUCUAUAUUGUCAUCCAUCAGCCGGUUUAGUUUGCUGUGGGUGGGACAAAUGCUCAGGACAAACUGCAUUCCAAUCAGGAGUAUGCGAAGAUACUGGGAUCUCUUACAGUGGCUAAAAUUAUCUCUUCAUCAAGUAGAUACCUUUGAAAAUUAUUUUGGUUUUACAAUCUGUUUUAUCAUUUUCAAAUAUUGGUUUCAUUUUAAAUUUGUUUUUCGAAAUAUUUUGUUAACUAAUUCGAUGUCUGUUUAAUAAAAUUAUUCAAAAAAUUCUUAA